ACUGUUGAUCUGUCUUCACAGUGAGACAGUGCAGGCCUACUCCACCCAGUUCAUCCUGUCCAGAGAGCUGGAAGUCAUUCUCCUGCAAGUGUUACCUCUUCGUACAGACCAAGCGGAAUUGGGACGAUUGUCGCACUCACUGCCAAGAACAGGGAGCUGACCUGGUCAUUAUCAAUAACGAAGCUGAACAGGAGUUCAUCAGCCAAAAUGCAGGAAACAUAGAAGAGUACUGGACCGGCCUAUAUGACCCAGACCCAAACCAGAGUUUCUUCCGCUGGGUGGACGGGACCCGUCCGCAGACAACGUUCUGGAAGCCCGGAGAACCAGAUGGGAAGAGAAACCAAAAAGGAUGUGCAUACACUGGACCUGGUGCUUUGAAAUGGGGCAGCACAAACUGUGUCCAAAGCAGGUGGUCGAUCUGUGAGAGAAAGCAAUAGUUCAUCUGAAACUAGAAAUAAGAAUGAAGAAAAAAUAUUUUGAAUGGCAAAUCAACUGUUUGCACCUUUAUAAUCUUUAAAUAUUAGUGAACUGAUCGAUGAACAAAUGGUCAAUUUAAAUGCAUUGCUUCAAAUAAUAAAGAAAAUAACUAUU